CUACUUUGACAGAGCAUCCUAGCAGCAGGGAAAAGGACAGAGACGUAUGACUGUAUGAAAAAGCUGACUAAUUAUCCUAAAGCUCUCACUGAAGUAUCUGAUCUUCUCCAGACUGCUACUUGCUCCUGGUUGCUUCAGUUCCUCAAGGCUGAGGUUACUUUUUAUUUAGGGGAAAACCAGUUCCAAAGGAUGGAAUAACAUUUUCUUUUAAUGGAGGAAGGUAGACUUCUCCAGCAGCUGGCCGGAGGUGCCCCAGGCCCUGCAGUGACGGCCGUUGGCUCUGGGCGAGGAUGGCAGAGCGUACUCUACGCUGCCACCAAAGGACAUGAAGCCAGGCAGCCGCCGCUGUGUCAUGUGGCGCUCAAGUGCUGCAACAUCUCCAUGCCUUGCUAUUUGUAUGGUCCUCCAGUGCCAGCAAAGGAACACCAGUUUCUUAGAAAACAACCUGAUAUUUAA
rnacentral:lncRNA from 1 species